rnacentral:sRNA from 1 species
CGACGGGGUAACCCAAAGUGGCCUGAA